rnacentral:rRNA from 1 species
ACAAGCGGUGGAUGAUGUGGAUUAAUUCGAUGCAACGCGAAAACCUUACCUACCCUUGACAUGUCCGGAAUCCCGAAGAGAUUUGGGGGUGCUCGCAAGAGAACCAGAACACAGGUGCUGCAUGGCUGUCGUCAGCUCGUGUCGUGAGAUGUUGGGUUAAGUCCCGCAACGAGCGCAACCCUUGUCAUUAGUUGCCAUCAUUUGGUUGGGCACUCUAAUGAGACUGCCGGUGACAAACCGGAGGAAGGUGGGGAUGACGUCAAGUCCUCAUGGCCCUUAUGGGUAGGGCUUCACACGUCAUACAAUGGUCGGUACAGAGGGUUGCCAACCCGCGAGGGGGAGCUAAUCCCACAAAGCCGAUCGUAGUCCGGAUCGCAGUCUGCAACUCGACUGCGUGAAGUCGGAAUCGCUAGUAAUCGUGGAUCAGCAUGUCACGGUGAAUACGUUCCCGGGUCUU